rnacentral:rRNA from 1 species
UACGAAGGGUGCAAGCGUUGUCCGGAAUCAUUGGGCGUAAAGCGCGUGUAGGCGGCCCGGUAAGUCCGCUGUGAAAGUCCAGGGCUCAACCCUGGGAUGCCGGUGGAUACUGUCGGGCUCGAGUCCGGAAGAGGCGAGUGGAAUUCCUGGUGUAGCGGUGAAAUGCGCAGAUAUCAGGAGGAACACCAAUGGCGAAGGCAGCUCGCUGGGACGUGACUGACGCUGAGACGCGAAAGCGUGGGGAGCGAACAGG